rnacentral:rRNA from 1 species
AUAAACUGUUUCAGUUGGAUUGUAGUUGCAAUUCGCCUACAGAAGCUGGAAUCGCUAGUAAUCGCGGAUCAGCAUGCCGCGGUGAAUACGUUCCCGGGCCUUGUACACACCGCCCGUCACACCACGAGAGUUUGUAACACCCGAAGUCGGUGGGGUAACCUUUUGGAGCCAGCCGCCUAAGGUGGGACAGAUGAUUGGGGG